rnacentral:lncRNA from 1 species
CUUUAUUGUGCAUAUUUAAACUAUAAUGCUCUUUUACUCAUAUGUUUCCAUACCCUCAGUCAGAGUUGACCUUGGACUGUUUUGUUGGGUCUAUUCAAGGUUUUUAUUAUGGUCUGAAACAUUUUAGAUAUUUGGCUUCAUCAGUCUGGAAUGUAUCUGAUGAAGUAUAUAUAAGAAUGGUGGUAUAUUUUAUGUAACCGUGUGUAGUAUCUUGUACUUGCUUAAUAGUCGGUAUAUACUUGAAAUUACUUCUAAUAUAUGUAUAUAUAUUCCAAGACUUAAAAAUGCAAUACUUCCAUAAACUCUAUAUUGUACACAUACUUUGAAGG